CCUUGUCGGUGUAGGCCGGGGCCAGUAAUUAGGUAUUCGUCACUUGCGCUUCGUCCUAGCCUAAAGAGGUUUACAACCCGAAGGCCGUCAUCCCUCACGCGGCGUCGCUGCAUCAGGCUUGCGCCCAUUGUGCAAUAUUCCCCACUGCUGCCUCCCGUAGGAGUCUGGGCCGUGUCUCAGUCCCAGUGUGGCCGGUCACCCUCUCAGGCCGGCUACCCGUCGUCGCCUUGGUAGGCCAUCACCCCACCAACAAGCUGAUAGGCCGCGGGCUCAUCCA
rnacentral:rRNA from 1 species